AUUGAACGCUGGCGGCAUGCUUUACACAUGCAAGUCGAACGGUAACAGGCCGCAAGGUGCUGACGAGUGGCGAACGGGUGAGUAAUGCAUCGGAACGUGCCCAGUCGUGGGGGAUAACGCAGCGAAAGCUGCGCUAAUACCGCAUACGAUCUAUGGAUGAAAGCGGGGGACCGUAAGGCCUCGCGCGAUUGGAGCGGCCGAUGUCAGAUUAGGUAGUUGGUGGGGUAAAGGCUCACCAAGCCAACGAUCUGUAGCUGGUCUGAGAGGACGACCAGCCACACUGGGACUGGGACACGGCCCAGACUCCUACGGGAGGCAGCAGUGGGGAAUUUUGGACAAUGGGCGCAAGCCUGAUCCAGCAAUGCCGCGUGCAGGAAGAAGGCCUUCGGGUUGUAAACUGCUUUUGUACGGAACGAAACGGUCCUGGUUAAUACCUGGGGCUAAUGACGGCACCGUAAGAAUAAGCACCGGCUAACUACGUGCCAGCCGCCGCAGUAAUAC
rnacentral:rRNA from 1 species